CACGUAGGGCGCAAGCGUUGUCCGGAAUUAUUGGGCGUAAAGAGCUCGUAGGCGGUUCGAUAAGUCGGGUGUGAAAACUCUGGGCUCAACUCAGAGACGCCACCCGAUACUGUUGUGACUUGAGUCCGGUAGGGGAGUAUGGAAUUCCCGGUGUAGCGGUGAAAUGCGCAGAUAUCGGGAGGAACACCAGUGGCGAAGGCGGUACUCUGGGCCGGAACUGACGCUGAGGAGCGAAAGCGUGGGUAGCGAACAGG
rnacentral:rRNA from 1 species